rnacentral:rRNA from 1 species
GGCUCAGGGUGAACGCUGGCGGUCUGCAUAACGCAUGCAAGUCGAGCGGUUGGUGGACUUCGGUUCAGCAACAGCGGCAAACGGCUGAGGAACGCGUAGGAAACCUGCCCGACGGUGGGGGACAACCCCGGGAAACUGGGGCUAAUACCGCAUACGUCUUUCUGACAUAAGUUGGAAAGGGAAAGGGUCCCGUAAGGGACUCGCCGACGGAGGGUCCUGCGUCCCAUCAGGUAGUUGGCGGGGUAACGGCCCACCAAGCCGACGACGGGUAGCUGGUCUGAGAGGACGAUCAGCCAGAGGGGGACUGAGACACGGCCCCCACUCCUACGGGAGGCAGCAGCGAGGGAUCUUGGGCAAUGGGCGAAAGCCUGACCCAGCGAGACCGCGUGGGGGAUGAAGGCCUUCGGGUCGUAAACCCCUUUUAUAGGGGAAGAGCAAGGACGGUACCUUAUGAAUAAGCCCCGGCUAACUACGUGCCAGCAGCCGCGGUAAUACGUAGGGGGCGAGCGUUACCCGGAAUUACUGGGCGUAAAGGGGAGGCAGGCGGCAGGGUUAGUCGUCCGAGAAAGGUCUCGGCUCAACCGAGAUAGCACGGGCGAAACGGCCCCGCUCGAGGCCAGCAGAGGCGGGUGGAAUUCCCGGUGGAGCGGUGACAUGCGUAGAGAUCGGGAGGAACACCAGUGGCGAAGGCGACCCGCUGGGCUGGUACUGACGCUGAACUCCGAAAGCGUGGGGAGCGAACAGGAUUAGAUACCCUGGUAGUCCACGCCCUAAACGUUGGAUGCUAGGUAUGGGGGGGUAUCGACCCCCUCCGUGCCGUAGUUUACGCGUUAAGCAUCCCGCCUGGGGAGUACGGCCGCAAGGCUAAAACU